GCUCCCACUCUCUGUCUGUCUCAAAAACAAAUAAAUAAACUUUUAAAAAAAGAAAAAAGAAAAUGCUUAUAAUAUGUUAAAUAUAAUCUCAGGAUAAGAGUUAAAUUUAUAGUCCUCUUCCAGUUACAUCUAACACACACGUACUCAUACACAGAAGCAAAUCUAGAAGAAAUAUGGCAAAAUAUUAGCAAGUACUAUCCCAUAAAAUUGCGGGAUUAUGGGUUUUUUCGCACUUUCUUCUUUAUACUUUGUAUCAUUUUCUAGGCUUUCUACAGUUGAUGUGCACAACCUGUAAAAUUAGGCCUAAACAGGCAUUAUGUCCUUGUUUUUAUAGAAAAUGUUUGUUUGUUUGUGUGUUUGUUUUUAACAAGAUAGCUUCUAUACGGAUAUCUAUGGGCAGGGAAAGAUGAAACCAUCUGAAAAAAGAGAAAAUUAAGACUGCCCAGUCUGAUAAAAGAUAUGGACAUCACUUUUCCUAACACAGAUUAAAAAUCUGUCACAGAGAAAAGAUAUAACAGUAAUGGGGGCACUUCCACUAUAAAGACAUCUGCUAGAAAUCUCAUUAUACUAAAAAGCUGAGCAUCAGACAGAGUCUUGACUUGUCUUGCUGACAAUUUCAUCUCUCAGAAGGUGGAGGCAACAAGUGUGCCCACCACUCAACUGACCAGGAAGAAAUAAGUGGUUGGCACCGGGCAGGGCGAAGAAAGGUAGCCACGGACUUUGCAGUCACGUGGAUUCAUACCUGCCUGAAAACACACCUAAAAUGCAUGAAUUGGUGUCUAUGGAGAUUUUGAAGUGAAAAAAAAUUAUUACACCUGAAUAUUACACACACUCCUAUACACCUCAUGUUAAUUAGGAUUUUAAGUCAAGAAUGCAUUCAGAAAAGAAUGACUUGAAUGAUAGGAAGUCUGAGGUUUAUGUCAAAAGUGACAGAGCUGAGGGAAGCCCGGGCUCCUGCAAUUCUGCCCACAUCUAGGAAGUCAAGAGACUGAAACCAGUGGUCGCACAAAUAAAGCUGAGACUCAGCCUAGGUGGUCCAGACCACGUCCUGGCAGCUCGAGGGUGCCUGGGGCGCCAAUGAGUUCAAGAGAAGCAGGCAGACAGUGAGCAAGUACAGACCGAAACCACCUCCAACACUGACCAAGAGAAUCUCAUUACCCUUGCAGGCAGCCCCACAGUGCCACCAUCCCGAAUGAUCACAAGAGAGAAUCAAAAUACUUCCAUUCUGGUCAUUCCAUUCCAUUCAUAUCCAAUCAACUGUACCCCAGGGAUGGCCACUUGCCUUGUGCAUCUACUUCUGGAUGCUUCUCCAUUUCACAAAGGACAAGUGGCCACAACUGUGCUUUUCUGUGUCAUGCAAGGGCACAGGAAUUUCCCUUAUGUCUGUCAACCAAAGUUGGCAGUUGGAGGAGAAUUCUCUCAAUGGAUUAAAUAAUCCUAGUUGCCACAGUUUCUCAUUAUUGCAUCCAUGAGUCCUGCUUUACCUUCAAACACAGUUUGGCCUUCAUUGGCCCUCUUAAUUACAUAUUUGAAGACAGGCAACACUGAAGUUGGGACUCACUUAGCUAAUGAGAUUGGACCAAAUCAUGGCCCAGGAUGCAGUAGUAAACCAGGGCUGUCGCUGUGGGCACUGGAAAGAGCGAUGAUCCCUCAGUAAGAAACUGGAACUAUACCUUUGAAAAUUUAUGUCAGGAGGCGCCUGGGUGGCUCAGUCGGUUGGGCGUCCAACUUCGGCUCAGGUCAUGAUCUCGUGGCCUGUGAGUUCGAGCCCCUCGUCAGGCU